CACGUAGGGUGCGAGCGUUGUCCGGAAUUAUUGGGCGUAAAGGGCUCGUAGGCGGUUUGUCGCGUCGGGAGUGAAAACCUUGGGCUUAACUCAGGGCUUGCUUUCGAUACGGGCAGACUAGAGGUAUGCAGGGGAGAACGGAAUUCCUGGUGUAGCGGUGAAAUGCGCAGAUAUCAGGAGGAACACCGGUGGCGAAGGCGGUUCUCUGGGCAUGAUCUGACGCUGAGGAGCGAAAGUGUGGGGAGCGAACAGG
rnacentral:rRNA from 1 species